rnacentral:misc_RNA from 1 species
UACGAAGGGUGUAAGCGUUGCCCGGAUUUAUUGGGCGUAAAGUGUUUCGUAGGCGGCUUGAAAAGUUAUCUUUCAAAUACCACGGCUCAACCGUGGACAGGGAGAUAAUACUGUCAAGCUUUGAAGAAUAUUGGGGUUACUGGAACUGUCGGUGUAGGGGUGAAAUCCGUUGAUAUCGAUAGGAACUCCGAAGGCGAAGGCGAGUAACUAAGUAUUUCUUGACGCUGAGGAACGAAAGCUAGGGGAGCGAAAGGG